rnacentral:rRNA from 1 species
GGAGUAGGCAGCUGAUCCAGCCAUGCCGCGUGUAGGAAGACUGCCCUAUGGGUUGUAAACUACUUUUAUAGAGGAAGAAACAGUAUUACGUGUAAUACUCUGACGGUACUCUACGAAUAAGGAUCGGCUAACUCCGUGCCAGCAGCCGCGGUAAUACGGAGGAUCCAAGCGUUAUCCGGAAUCAUUGGGUUUAAAGGGUCCGUAGGCGGGUUUGUAAGUCAGUGGUGAAAGUUUUCGGCUCAACCGGAAAAUUGCCAUUGAUACUGCAAGUCUUGAAUUAUUGUGAAGUGGUUAGAAUAGUGUAGUGUAGCGGUGAAAUGCAUAGAUAUUACAUAGAAUACCGAUUGCGAAGGCAGA